UGAACUGCUUGAUAAAAAGGUCAGAGCGAUUUAAGCAAAAACGGAAGGCCCUGCUGCGGCUGAAGACCCUUCUGAGGGGGAGAUAAGCCCGCUGUGAAAUUAGAAUGUCAGUCAGCGGGAAAAUGGGAUUCAGAACGCUUUAAAGCUGAAAAGCUCCUUAGAGACUUUGCAUCAGAAGCCCUCAUUUUCUAGGUGAGAAGACUGGAGCCCGGUGAGAUGGAACAGGCCCUGCAGGGCAGGACUGGGGCUGGACUCUCACACGCCUGGGUCCUGACUCUCGGGUCUUCCCACAACAUCGGUCUGCAUCAGGAGGCAGAGACUGGUUAGAUGUUCAGCUUUCUGCUCUGGGUACGCCUUUUGGGAACCUGUCCCCUGGGAAAGAAGCAAACAGAUUACCCCAGUUAGGAGUAGAUCCAGCCUCCUGAAGCUGAGGACCGGGAACCCCUGCCCCCAUAGCAUGCUUCUGAGGUUCAGAUGGGGGCAGCGGGAGAUUUGGAGGAACAUAAGGGAGAAGCGGCAGCAACUAAAACCUUGGCAGGCAGCGGAGGCCUCUCUGCCCGGAGCCCGUUGCAGCAGGAAGCCCCAAAGCCACACGGAACAGUACCUCCUGCCCUCGGCCCCUUCCAGGGAAUCGAACCAGCUUCCGGGCCAACCUGGCCCUUGGCUGAAGCCCUGCUCUGCCCUGCCUCCUGCAGCCCCCGCCAAGCACCAGGCCUCUUACGGGUGGUAUUGGGUCCCCAACAAAGACAUGUCGAAGCCCUAACCCGUGAUACCUGUGAAUGUGGCCUUAUUUGGAAAUGGGAUCUUUGCAGAUGUCAUCAAGUUAAGAUGAGGUUAUACUGGUUUAAGGUGGGCCCUAAGCCCCUGAAUGCUACCCUUACAAGAGGAGAAGAGACCCAGAGACAGCACAGGCGGAGGGAGACGAUGUGAACACACACAGCGAGAAGGCCACGGACGGCAGAGGCAGAGAUCCGAGGGAUGAGUCCACAGCCAAAGGGCUCCAGGGCUCCCAGCACCCCUGGGAGCUGGGAGAGAGACCUGGAGCAGAUUCUGGAUUCUCCCCCAGAGCCUCCAGCCCUAGCACGGCCCUGUCGACGCCU
rnacentral:lncRNA from 1 species